rnacentral:rRNA from 1 species
AUUGAACGCUGGCGGCAUGCCUUACACAUGCAAGUCGAGCGCGAAAAGGGGGCAACCCCGAGUAGAGCGGCGGACGGGUGAGUAACACAUCGGAACGUGCCCAGUAGUGGGGGACAACCUCGAGAAAUCGAGGCUAAUACCGCAUACGACCCACGGGUGAAAGCGGGGGACCGCAAGGCCUCGCGCUAUUGGAGCGGCCGAUGUCCGAUUAGCUAGUUGGCGGGGUAAGAGCCCCACCAAGGCGACGAUCGGUAGCUGGUCUGAGAGGACGACCAGCCACACUGGGACUGAGACACGGCCCAGACUCCUACGGGAGGCAGCAGUGGGGAAGUUUUGGUACAAUGGGGGCAACCCCUGAUCCAGCCAUGCCGCGUGCGGGAAGAAGGCC